CGUCCGAUCAUAGGAGAAAAGUAGGGUUUAAAGGCCCUCUCUUCCCAUUCGAUGGGGUCUCCUAUGGCGGUAGGGGUGUCGAUGCGAUUAUAUCCCAUGCAGAUGAAGUAGCGAAAGGAAUAUUCAUGAUUUAUUUUGAUUGAGUUAUUUUCUGUUAUGUAAUUAGCAAUAGGAUUGCUAUUUAUGAAAUGAGUCAACAUAUUUGGUGAACAGAAAAUAAAACCUUUCAAAUUUGAAAAUUAUUUUCGAAUUGCCAAACCCUGACCCAUCAGCCCAAAUACU
rnacentral:lncRNA from 1 species